rnacentral:rRNA from 1 species
GAGGGGAGCCUGGAGGGUCGACGAUUGGCAGCAGUGGGGAAUCUUGCGCAAUGGGCGAAAGCCUGACGCAGCGACGCCGCGUGUGGGAAGAAGGCCUUCGGGUUGUAAACCACUUUCAGGAGGGAAGAAGCGAAAGUGACGGUACCUCCAGAAGAAGGUCCGGCCAACUACGUGCCAGCAGCCGCGGUAAUACGUAGGGACCGAGCGUUGUCCGGAAUUAUUGGGCGUAAAGAGCUCGUAGGCGGUUCUUUAAGUCGGAUGUGAAAUCUCAGGGCUUAACCCUGAAACCGCACCCGAUACUGGAGAACUUGAGGCAGGUAGGGGAGAUCGGAAUUCCGGGUGUAGCGGUGAAAUGCGCAGAUAUCAGGAGGAACACCGGUGGCGAAGGCGGAUCUCUGGGCCUGUUCUGACGCUGAGGAGCGAAAGCGUGGGGAGCAAACAGGAUUAGAUACCCUGGUAGUCCACGCCGUAAACGAUGGGUGCUAGGUGUGGGAGAUAAUCCACUUCUUCCGUGCCGCAGCUAACGCAUUAAGCACCCCGCCUGGGGACUACGGCCGCAAGGCUAAAACUCAAAGGAAUUGACGG